rnacentral:rRNA from 1 species
AUACGUAGGGAGCGAGCGUUGUCCGGAUUUACUGGGUGUAAAGGGUGCGUAGGCGGCUCUGCAAGUCAGGCGUGAAAUACAUGGGCUUAACCCAUGGACUGCGUUUGAAACUGUGGAGCUUGAGUGAAGUAGAGGUAGGCGGAAUUCCUGGUGUAGCGGUGAAAUGCGUAGAGAUUGGGAGGAAUACCAGUGGCGAAGGCGGCUUACUGGGCUGUAACUGACGCUGAAGCACGAAAGCGUGGGUAGCAAACAGGAUUAGAUACCCUGGUAGUCCAUGCCGUAAACGAUGAUUACUAGGUGUGGGGGGUCUGACCCCUUCCGUGCCGGAGUUAACACAAUAAGUAAUCCACCUGGGGAGUACGGCCGCAAGGUUGA